rnacentral:rRNA from 1 species
UACGGGGGGUGCGAGCGUUGUCCGGAAUCACUGGGCGUAAAGGGCGCGUAGGCGGCACAGCAAGUCGGAAGUGAAAGCCCGGGGCUCAACCCCGGAAUGUCUUUCGAAACUGCUGAGCUAGAGUGCAGAAGAGGCAACUGGAAUUCCCAGUGUAGCGGUGAAAUGCGUAGAUAUUGGGAAGAACACCUGAGGCGAAGGCGGGUUGCUGGGCUGACACUGACGCUGAGGCGCGAAAGCCAGGGGAGCGAACGGG